UACAGGGGGGGCAAGCGUUGUUCGGAAUUACUGGGCGGAAAGGGCUCGUAGGUGGCCAACUAAGUCAGACGUGAAAUCCCUCAGCUUAACUGGGGAACUGCGUCUGAUACUGGAUGGCUUGAGUUUGGGAGAGGGAUGCGGAAUUCCAGGUGUAGCGGUGAAAUGCGUAGAGAUGUGGAGGAACACCAAUGGCGAAGGCAGCCUUCUGGGCCAACACUGACGCUCAUGCACGAAAGCGUGGGGAGCAAACAGG
rnacentral:rRNA from 1 species